rnacentral:rRNA from 1 species
ACUCAAAGGAAUAGACGGGGGCCCGCACAAGCAGCGGAGCGUGUGGUUUAAUUCGAUGCGACGCGAAGAACCUUACCUGGGUUUGACAUGCUAGUGGUAGGAAGCCGAAAGGUAACCGACCUUCGGGAGCUAGCACAGGUGCUGCAUGGCUGUCGUCAGCUCGUGUCGUGAGAUGUUGGGUUAAGUCCCGCAACGAGCGCAACCCUUGGCGUAUGUUUCACGAGUCAUACGCGACUGUCCGGGCUAACCGGGAGGAAGGUGGGGAUGACGUCAAGUCAGCAUGGCCUUUAUAUCCAGGGCGACACACACGCUACAAUGGCAUGUACAAUAGGCAGCGACGGGGCGACCCGGAGCGAAUCUCAAAAGCAUGUCGUAGUUCGGAUUGGAGUCUGCAACUCGACUCCAUGAAGGCGGAGUUGCUAGUAACCGCGCGUCAGCCAUAGUGCGGUGAAUGCGUUCCCGGGCCUUGUACACACCGCCCGU